UACGGGGGGGGCAAGCGUUGUUCGGAAUUACUGGGCGUAAAGGGCUUGUAGGUGGCCAACUAAGUCAGACGUGAAAUCCCUCGGCUUAACCGGGGAACUGCGUCUGAUACUGGAUGGCUCGAGUGUGGGAGAGGGAUGCGGAAUUCCAGGUGUAGCGGUGAAAUGCGUAGAUAUCUGGAGGAACACCGGUGGCGAAGGCGGCAUCCUGGACCGACACUGACACUGAGGAGCGAAAGCCAGGGGAGCAAACGGG
rnacentral:rRNA from 1 species